rnacentral:tRNA from 1 species
GGCUCGGUAGCUUAGUUUGUAAAGCGCUCAUCUAGCAUACAAGAAUCCUGGGCUCAAAUCCAAGCCGAGCAC